UGUGAGCUUCCCAUCUUUGACAACGCC
rnacentral:piRNA from 1 species